AUUUGCCUGCUGUGUUCGUCAGGGGGUACGUAAUAUUGAACCAACACAAUAUUACAGGGGAAUGUUGUCUAUCAAGCCCGUGGGCUUAUAGCUUUUCCCCACCUGGUAACCAGGUUCAGUACACAUGCUUCCAACGGCAUAAGCGGGUCUUAU
rnacentral:other from 1 species